AGGCGACCUGUGCUUGUCCCAGUGUUUACGCGCCGCCAGAGCAACAUGGCAGCGUUGCGGUCCUCCUGCCUGGUUCUCCUCAGGAAUUGUUCCAUUACCCUUGUCACUCCCAGUCUACCCCACAGAACUUUGAGCCGUGUGACACAGAGACGGGUGGCGAGUGCCGCGGGAGCUACCAGUGGACUAAAAUGGGUGGCGUUAAGGUCAUACGCGUCGAGAAGUGUGGGGCCGGACAAGUCUGCGGGCUCUGUGGGCCUUGCAGACGAACUCUUAACAGCCAAAGUGCACGGUGAGCUCAAGGAGCAGACGACAGAGGACCAGCAGCAGGGCGAGCAGAACAACGAGAAGCAGAAGGAAAAGGAGAAGACCUGGAGGACACUCAAAUACUCUUUUAUCGGGUUUGGCGUUAUGAUGACCGGCAUGAGCGGCUUCAUGAUAUGGACUUGGGGUUCUCCAAAUGUUGAUAUGCAAGGUAACGUUAUACCAGAUGAAUUUUCCAAUAUGCCAGCAGUCAAACAGUAUUUGUACCGCACCUGGCAGGGCAUGCAUGCUAUGAAUAAAAUGAUCCAGGAGCCAUCACGCGAGAAGCUCUUGCCAGACCCAUUAAAAGAGCCAUAUUUUCAACCAACUUACACACUAGUCCUGGAGCUCCGUGAUGUUCUAGUGCAUCCAGAGUGGACGUACGAGACUGGUUGGCGGUUUAAGAAACGUCCCGGUGUAGAGUUCUUGCUGCAUCAUUGUGCUCCUCCACUGUUUGAAAUUGUAAUUUACACCAAUGAGCAAGGUUUUACUGCAUACCCAGUGAUUGAUCACCUGGACCCAAACAACUACGUAUGGUAUCGGCUAUUUAGAGACUCGACUCGAUAUGUUGAUGGUAAACACAUUAAGGACCUCAGCUGUCUGAACAGAGAUUUAAGCAAGGUGAUUUGUGUAGACUGGGACAGCGAUGCAGUCUCGUCUCCUCGCAACCACCUCAAGGUUGAUCGCUGGGAUGGUGAUAUGAACAAUCAAUCUCUCUUAGAGUUGGGCUUCAUGCUGCGCACUAUUGCAGAAUCAGAAGUGUCAGAUGUUCGUGAAGUCAUUGAUUAUUACCGCACAUUCGAUAACCCUCUUGCUGCUUUUCGAGAGAACCAUCGUAAGGCACAGGAGCAAGAGUUGUUGUUGCAUCAGAAGGUUGAAGAAGAACGACAACAAAAGAGUUUUACAAGUUCGUGGGCAUCGUCCUUUCUUCGGAGGCGUUAGUUUAAAGUCGACAUGGUGACGCCAUGUUAGGGUGAGUGCAAGUGAGGGUUGGAAAUCUUAUGUCUCCAUCAUUACAUCCGAUACUCCUCUGCUGCAGAUCUGGAAGAAAAUCUUCAAAAUAGCUGAUGUCAUUGUUAGAGACUUGGCACCAUUAGUAGUAAUCAUUUGUCGAACAGAAGCAAUGUAAUUUCAGGUUGUGUUAAACCAAUGGUCCUAGAUGACAUCACUGAAGAAUCCAAUGGCAAAGACCAGUGCUAGAUGGCAAAGACCAGGUGCUGAACAUCACUGAGGAAUCCAGUGGCAAAGACCAUCACAGAUUACAAAGAACAACCAUCUGUAAAGAAAAUAAGAUCAUUAAUG
rnacentral:misc_RNA from 1 species